UACGUAGGGUGCGAGCGUUAAUCGGAAUUACUGGGCGUAAAGCGUGCGCAGGCGGUUUUGUAAGCCAGAUGUGAAAUCCCCGGGCUUAACCUGGGAAUGGCAUUUGGGACUGCAGGGCUGGAGUGUGGCAGAGGAGACUGGAAUUCCUGGUGUAGCAGUGAAAUGCGUAGAUAUCAGGAGGAAUACCGAUGGCGAAGGCAGGUCUCUGGGCUGACACUGACGCUCAUGCACGAAAGCGUGGGGAGCAAACAGG
rnacentral:rRNA from 1 species